UACGUAGGGCGCAAGCGUUGUCCGGAAUUAUUGGGCGUAAAGAGCUCGUAGGCGGUGUGUCGCGUCGGCCGUGAAAACCUGCAGCUUAACUGUGGGCUUGCGGUCGAUACGGGCAUCACUGGAGUUCGGCAGGGGAGACUGGAAUUCCUGGUGUAGCGGUGAAAUGCGCAGAUAUCAGGAGGAACACCGGUGGCGAAGGCGGGUCUCUGGACAGUUCCUGACACUGAGACACGAAGGCCAGGGGAGCAAACGGG
rnacentral:rRNA from 1 species